rnacentral:precursor_RNA from 1 species
AGAACCAUCUCUCUUAUAUCUGCCACCUGCCUUCUCUGACCUGCAGAUAUGAGAGUGUUGGUCCUGA